UUUUGCCCCAAUUUACAUUAGAAGUCAACCCAAAAUCGCGCCUUCUCCAUUUCACCUCUGUCAUUUCACCAACCCUCCCUCUCCGAUGCUGCCGCGCCUCUUCACUCCGCUGCCACCGUGUUGUUGCUCUGUUGCUCUCGUACUCGUCGUCGCCCCUCACACUCGCGCUGCCGUCCUUCCGUCCACUUUUCAAAUUGAAAACACGUCGUAGCACCUCCUUCUCCAUAUGAAUCUCUGGCAAUUUGUUACAUGAACUAUUACAAGUGCUACUUUAACUUGCAACAAAUGAUUUUCGAGUGGAGUUUUUCUUCUCUGCUGCUUUGGUUUUACCCGCUACAUGAAGAAUUUCAUUAUGUUAUCUCAAUCACUUUGUUCGAUUCAGCGUUUGGAACUAUGGUUUCACUUAAUCUGUAACCCUAACUUGCUCUUUUUCAAAGCUUGAAACGAAGAGGAUUUUGCUCGACAUUUUCAAAGAAAAGCAGAAGAAAAGUGCGGAAGCUGGUACAAUUCUGUAUUGGAAUUUUUAAUUUUUGUGCAUUUUUUAGAUUUACAUUAGAAUAUAUUUAUGUUUUUGUGUUGAUUAUUGGUGAUUAUAUAUUAUUUCAUUAUAAUCGGGUUAUUCUGUUGAACUAGUUGAACAUCAUGGAAGGAAUGGUUCGAUGUACUGUUUGAUUUUUGGAACAUUGUAGCAUUCUCUCUGCCUCUUGUAAAAGGGGUUAAAAACAAAGAUAUUGGUCCUCUAUGUAAAGUGCAGUAUCCACUUUAGAGGAUAAAGUGAAUCACUAUAGUCAUUACUCGGAAAAAUUAAGGAUCUAAGGUGUAAUCUGAUACAAGUCUGCCAUUGGUAUGCACUAGAUGGGGUUAUAGGCCAAGGGUGGUUCAGAAAUUUCAUUACAGAUUAUGGGAUGCCUCUCAUGGUGCUGCUCUGGACAGCCCUAUCAUUCACAAUACCAAGUAAAGUUCCUUCUGGAGUUCCAAGAAGACUUGUUUCUCCUCUUGCUUGGGAUUCCACAUCUUGCAUAAUUGGACUAUCAUCAAAGACAUGGGCAAGAUUUCACCAAAGUAUAUAUUCGCUGCUUUUAUUCCUGCCAUAAUGAUAGCAGGGCUUUAUUUCUUUGAUCACAGUGUUGCUUCACAGUUAGCACAGCAGAAGGAAUUCAACCUAAAGAAGCCUUCUGCAUAUCACUCUGACAUAUUGCUACUAGGACUCAUGGCA